CAAACCCUAAAAGCUUAUAUUUCUAGCUUCCUCCUCUCUCAUACGGCAGUGGGAAUUGAAACUGUACCAAUCAAAUUGGAGAGCAGAGGAGAGCAGGCCGAUCAAUAAGUGAAGUGGAGUGGAUCGGAAUCCCUAUUGAUUCAUUCUUUCGGUGCGGUGCGGCAAGCAAAAGCAAAAUUAGGACAAUAUUGCAACAGAUUCAAGUGCACACCAUGAUGAAGAUGGUACUGAUGAAGAUGGUGAUGAAGAUGUUGCUGAUGAAUAUGAUGCAAACUCUAAUUAAGACUUUUAGUAGAUAUAUUGUUAGCUUCCUUGCUUAAGAAUGAUUAUAUUAUAAAGACCAAAUAUUGAAUAUUUAUCUUUAUCUGAACAUGUAUGAAUGAUUAACUAUG